rnacentral:rRNA from 1 species
GAUGAACGCUGGCGGCGUGCCUAAUACAUGCAAGUCGAACGAACAGACGAGGAUCUUUCUCCUCUGACGUUAGCGGCGGACGGGGGAGUAACACGUGGAUGACCUACCUAUAAGACUGGGAGAACUGCGGGAAACCGGGGCUAAUACCGGAUAAGAUAUUUAAGCGCAUGGUUCAGUAGUGAGAGACGGUUUUGGUGGCACUUAUAGGUGCAUGCGGGCCGCAUUAGCUAGUUGGGAAGGUAGCGGCUUAACAAGGCGACGAUGCGUAGGCGAGCUGAGGGGGUGAUCGGCCGCAGUGGAACUGAGACACGCUGCAAACCCGUACGGAAGGCAGCAGGAGGGAAUCUUCGGCGAUGGGGGAAAGCCUGACGGAGCAACGCGGCGUGAGUGAGGAAGGUCUUCGGAUCGUAACGCGUUGUUAUUAGGGAAGACCAAAUGUGUAAGUUGCUAGGCACGGUUUGACGGGACCUGAUCAGAUAGCCACGGCUAACUACGUG